rnacentral:lncRNA from 1 species
CCUUAAUCUGGGUGGGCACAAUCUAAUCAGCUGCCAGUGUGGCUGAAAUAUAAGGAGGCAGAAAAAUAUGAAAAGACAGACUGGUCGAGCCUCCCAGCCUACAUUUUUCUCCCAUGCUGGAUGCUUCCUGCCCUUGAACAUUGGACUCCAAGUUUUUCAGUUUUGUAACUUGGACUGGCUCUCCUUGCUCCUCAGCCUGCAGAUGGCCUAUUGUGGAACCUUGUGAUCAUAUUUACCUAUAGCUACAUGUUUAAGAAGAUAGCCUUAACCUGCCAGGCAUGGUGGCUCACGCCUGUAAUCCCAGCACUUUGGGAGGCCGAGGCUGGUGGAUCACCUGAGGUCAGGAG